AGAGUUUGAUCCUGGCUCAGGAUGAACGCUGGCGGCGUGCCUAACACAUGCAAGUCGAGCGAUCUUCUUCGGAAGAGAGCGGCGGACGGGUGAGUAACGCGUGGGUAACCUGCCUCAUACACAUGGAUAACAUACCGAAAGGUAUGCUAAUACAAGAUGAUAUAAGAGAUUCGCAUGGAUUUCUUAUCAAAGCUCCGGCGGUAUGAGAUGGACCCGCGUCUGAUUAGCUAGUUGGUAAGGUAACGGCUUACCAAGGCGACGAUCAGUAGCCGACCUGAGAGGGUGAUCGGCCACAUUGGAACUGAGACACGGUCCCAAACUCCUACGGGAGGCAGCAGUGGGGAAUAUUGCACAAUGGGCGAAAGCCUGAUGCAGCAACGCCGCGUGAGCGAUGAAGGCCUUCGGGUCGUAAAGCUCUGUCCUCAAGGAAGAUAAUGACGGUACUUGAGGAGGAAGCCCCGGCUAACUACGUGCCAGCAGCCGCGGUAAUACGUAGGGGGCUAGCGUUAUCCGGAUUUACUGGGCGUAAAGGGUGCGUAGGUGGUUUCUUAAGUCAGGAGUGAAAGGCUACGGCUCAACCGUAGUAAGCUCUUGAAACUGGGAAACUUGAGUGCAGGAGAGGAAAGUGGAAUUCCUAGUGUAGCGGUGAAAUGCGUAGAUAUUAGGAGGAACACCAGUAGCGAAGGCGGCUUUCUGGACUGUAACUGACACUGAGGCACGAAAGCGUGGGGAGCAAACAGGAUUAGAUACCCUGGUAGUCCACGCCGUAAACGAUGAGUACUAGGUGUUCGGGGGUUACCCCCCUCGGUGCUCGCAGUCU
rnacentral:rRNA from 1 species